rnacentral:rRNA from 1 species
CUACGGGGCGCAGCAGUGAGGAAUAUUGCACAAUGGGGGGAACCCUGAUGCAGCAACGCCGCGUGGAGGAUGACGCAUUUCGGUGUGUAAACUCCUUUUAUAUGUCAAGAAAAUGACGGUAGCAUAUGAAUAAGCACCGGCUAACUCCGUGCCAGCAGCCGCGGUAAUACGGAGGGUGCAAGCGUUACUCGGAAUCACUGGGCGUAAAGGACGCGUAGGCGGGUUGGAAAGUCAGGUGUGAAAUCCUACAGCUUAACUGUAGAACUGCACUUGAAACUUCUAAUCUAGAGUAUGGGAGGGGGAGAUGGAAUUAGUGGUGUAGGGGUAAGAUCCGUAGAUAUCACUAGGAAUACCUAAAGCGAAGGCGAUCUCCUGGAACAUUACUGACGCUAGGGCGUGAAAGCGUGGGGAGCAAACAGGAUUAGAUACCCUAGUAGUC